rnacentral:rRNA from 11 species
CCCUACAAGUAUUAAAUAUCCUAAAUGCACCAGAGCCUGUCUGAUCUUGGAAGAUAAACAGAAUCAGCUCUGGUCAAUAUUCGGAUGGGAGAUUGCCAGUUAAUACCAGGUGCUGUAGACU